rnacentral:rRNA from 1 species
CAGUUGGCGGGGUAACGGCCCACCAAACCGACGAUGGAUAGGGGUUCUGAGAGGAAGGUCCCCCACAUUGGUACUGAGACACGGACCAAACUCCUACGGGAGGCAGCAGUGAGGAAUAUUGGUCAAUGGCCGAGAGGCUGAACCAGCCAAGUCGCGUGAAGGAUGAAGGAUCUAUGGUUUGUAAACUUCUUUUAUAGGGGAAUAAAGUGUGGGACGUGUCCCAUUUUGUAUGUACCCUAUGAAUAAGCAUCGGCUAACUCCGUGCCAGCAGCCGCGGUAAUACGGAGGAUGCGAGCGUUAUCCGGAUUUAUUGGGUUUAAAGGGUGCGUAGGUGGUAAUUUAAGUCAGCGGUGAAAGUUUGUGGCUCAACCAUAAAAUUGCCGUUGAAACUGGGUUACUUGAGUGUGUUUGAGGUAGGCGGAAUGCGUGGUGUAGCGGUGAAAUGCAUAGAUAUCACGCAGAACUCCAAUUGCGAAGGCAGCUUACUAAACCAUAACUGACACUGAAGCACGAAAGCGUGGGUAUCAAACAGGAUUAGAUACCCUGGUAGUCCACGCAGUAAACGAUGAUUACUAGGAGUUUGCGAUACACAGUAAGCUCUACAGCGAAAGCGUUAAGUAAUCCA